rnacentral:rRNA from 1 species
GAUAAACGCUGGCGGCGUGCCUAAUACAUGCAAGUCGAGCGAACGGACGAGAAGCUUGCUUCUCUGAUGUUAGCGGCGGACGGGUGAGUAACACGUGGAUAACCUACCUAUAAGACUGGGAUAACUUCGGGAAACCGGAGCUAAUACCGGAUAAUAUUUUGAACCGCAUGGUUCAAAAGUGAAAGACGGUCUUGCUGUCACUUAUAGAUGGAUCCGCGCUGCAUUAGCUAGUUGGUAAGGUAACGGCUUACCAAGGCAACGAUGCAUAGCCGACCUGAGAGGGUGAUCGGCCACACUGGAACUGAGACACGGUCCAGACUCCUACGGGAGGCAGCAGUAGGGAAUCUUCCGCAAUGGGCGAAAGCCUGACGGAGCAACGCCGCGUGAGUGAUGAAGGUCUUCGGAUCGUAAAGCUCUGUUAUUAGGGAAGAACAUAUGUGUAAGUAACUGUGCACAUCUUGACGGUACCUAAUCAGAAAGCCACGGCUAACUACGUGCAGCAGCCGCGGUAAUACGUAGGUGGCAAGCGUUAUCCGGAAUUAUUGGGCGUAAAGCGCGCGUAGGCGGUUUUUUAAGUCUGAUGUGAAAGCCCACGGCUCAACCGUGGAGGGUCAUUGGAAACUGGAAAACUUGAGUGCAGAAGAGGAAAGUGGAAUUCCAUGUGUAGCGGUGAAAUGCGCAGAGAUAUGGAGGAACACCAGUGGCGAAGGCGACUUUCUGGUCUGUAACUGACGCUGAUGUGCGAAAGCGUGGGGAUCAAACAGGAUUAGAUACCCUGGUAGUCCACGCCGUAAACGAUGAGUGCUAAGUGUUAGGGGGUUUCCGCCCCUUAGUGCUGCAGCUAACGCAUUAAGCACUCCGCCUGGGGAGUACGACCGCAAGGUUGAAACUCAAAGGAAUUGACGGGGACCCGCACAAGCGGUGGAGCAUGUGGUUUAAUUCGAAGCAACGCGAAGAACCUUACCAAAUCUUGACAUCCUUUGACAACUCUAGAGAUAGAGCCUUCCCCUUCGGGGGACAAAGUGACAGGUGGUGCAUGGUUGUCGUCAGCUCGUGUCGUGAGAUGUUGGGUUAAGUCCCGCAACGAGCGCAACCCUUAAGCUUAGUUGCCAUCAUUAAGUUGGGCACUCUAAGUUGACUGCCGGUGACAAACCGGAGGAAGGUGGGGAUGACGUCAAAUCAUCAUGCCCCUUAUGAUUUGGGCUACACACGUGCUACAAUGGACAAUACAAAGGGCAGCGAAACCGCGAGGUCAAGCAAAUCCCAUAAAGUUGUUCUCAGUUCGGAUUGUAGUCUGCAACUCGACUACAUGAAGCUGGAAUCGCUAGUAAUCGUAGAUCAGCAUGCUACGGUGAAUACGUUCCCGGGUCU